rnacentral:rRNA from 1 species
AACGAACGCUGGCGGCGUGGAUUAGGCAUGCAAGUCGAACGUGAACGGUUCCUUCGGGAAUCUAGUAAAGUGGCAAACGGGUGAGUAACGCGUGGGAAAUUUACCCCUGAGUUGGGAAUAACUCGUCCAACGACGAGCUAAUACCGAAUAAACUCCAGACACCGCAUGAUGACUGGAGGAAAGGUGGCCUCUACUUGUAAGCUGUCACUCGGGGAGAAUCCCGCGUCCUAUUAGCUUGUUGGUGAGGUAAUGGCCCACCAAGGCAGUGAUGGGUAGCCGGCCUGAGAGGGUGUUCGGCCACACUGGGACUGAGACACGGCCCAGACUCCUACGGGUGGCAG